UUGUCGGACAUUUAAAUUAUUGUCUUUUUUAUUUCUCAUGUAAUAGUUUUAACGUGUAGAAUCCAAAAAUACAAGUUUCUAGGAAUCUAGCGAUUCAAAAGUUAUGCAUACAUAAAACUGAGCAUUUUGAGUGUAUUUUAUAGGUCUCGAUAUUUGCAUAAAGAAAUCUAGAGGAAACCGUCCGAAAAUUGAGUUAUGAAAAAUCGUAAAAUCAUAAAUGCGUAACAUGCUAUGAAUGUUUCAGAAUAAGAGACUCUCUACUCAUCCAUUUGUCUCGCAAGAAAGAGAACUUUCUUAUCUUCCAUGUUAAUUUUUCAUGAUUCAAUUUCUGGACAGCAGAAUUUUCCUAAGCGAGUGUCGAGCUGUGUUUAUAGGUUACGUAUACAUAUACAUACGUAUAAUGUAUAAAAAUACAUAUAAUACAACCUUAUUAAUAUUAUUAUAAUAUAAGCGCAAUCUUAUUUUCAUCGAGUAAGAGCGAGUCAGGAAUAUGUAUGAAUGAAUAGAACCUGGUUGAUUAGAUAGAUUGUAUGCAGUUUGAUUAUUUGUAAAGGUAGAAGAGAGAUGCGAUAAAAAUUUGUAAUAUAUGCGAAAAAGUAAUUAGGUCAUUACACGAAAGUGGCGAUUGAUAUAUGAAUAAAAAAAUUACUGUUAAUUAUUUAA